rnacentral:lncRNA from 1 species
AAUUUGGCUUUAGCUAAGCCCAAUAAAUUUUUUUAACUAAUUAUAACACUCACCAAUUAAAUAAAGAAUCAAGAAAAAACUACGAAAUGAGGAGUUUGCCCCCCUUUCUCUAUUUCCAACUCCACAACUUUUUAUACAUAAAAAUAAAAAAAAUCAAAACAAAAUAAUAUGAAACUAUAGUUGGCUUUCAAACCAAGAUUUUCAAAAUAAU